GAAAUGUAUUGUGAGACAACAAGUAAAACUGGUAAGACAAGAUAUGCUAUGGUAUCCGGCCAUCCUAGAGGUGGUUGACCAUCAACAAAAUUGAAAAUCCAAGAGGUUCCACUCCCACUUUGUCGAGCACCAACUGUAGUAGGACCCGCAAGAGAAGGAAUCCAAAAGAAACCUUCAUUAAGAAGUCCCUCAUUAGCCACAUUAGACAGUGCUCUAUAUAGUCCAAUCCAAACGGGUAUUGUAGCAAGAGUAGGCAGGCAACCGGCCAAAGGGUUCACACCAGCUAACUUAUACAAGCGAGCAAUUUCAAGUUGUAUUCUUUCUUGGUCCCCAGCAUAACGUUGUUGGAUAGCCUUCACUUGAGGUUGAAGUGAUCGCAUAGCUAAUGCUGACUCAACCUGUUUCUUUGACAAGGGAAAUGUGGCAGCCUUCACAAGGAC
rnacentral:misc_RNA from 1 species